rnacentral:rRNA from 1 species
UACGGGAGGCAGCAGUGGGGAAUAUUGCACAAUGGGCGAAAGCCUGAUGCAGCUAUGCCGCGUGUAUGAAGAAGGCCUUAGGGUUGUAAAGUACUUUCAUCGGGGAGGAAAAAACAAAACUAAUAAUUUUAUUUCUUGACGUUACCCGAAAAAGAAGCACCGGCUAACUCCGUGCCAGCAGCCGCGGUAAUACGGAGGGUGCUAGCGUUAAUCAGAAUUACUGGGCGUAAAGAGCACGUAGGUGGUUUUUUUAAGUCAGAUGUGAAAUCCCUGGGCUUAACCUAGGAACUGCAUUUUUGAAACUGAAAUACUAGAGUAUCGUAGAGGGAGGUAGAAUUCUAGGUGUAGCGGUGAAAUGCGUAGAUAUCUGGAGGAAUACCUGUGGCGAAAGCGGCCUCCUAAACGAAUACUGACACUGAGGUGCGAAAGCGUGGGGAGCAAACAGGGAUUAGGAUACC